rnacentral:rRNA from 1 species
UACAGAGGGGGCAAGCGUUAAUCGGAAUUACUGGGCGUAAAGUGUGCGCAGGCGGCAGAGCAAGUCGAGUGUGAAAGCCCCGAGCUUAACUUGGGAAUUGCGCUCGAAACUACUUUGCUGGAGUGUGGCAGAGGAAGGUGGAAUUCCAGGUGUAGCGGUGAAAUGCGUAGAGAUCUGGAGGAACACCCGUGGUGCAGACGGCUUGCUGGACCGUGACUGACGCUGAGGCACGAAAGCGUGGGUAGCAAACAGG